UAUUUGAACUACAUUUUGGACAUAGCUGACGUUAAAAUUAAUAAUUAAAUUUUAUUUAAAUGAGAAAAGUAAUGAUUUUGUUAAUCAAUAUGUAUACCGUUAGAUAAUGCAAACAGUUCUCCGGUCAUGUAAAGAUUAUUUAUUAUCACUAAAGUCAAAUUGACCUCUCUAUCAUAUAUGUAACAUUUACAUUUGACCUUAUUUCGGACAGUAACUAUAGUAGAUAAUUUCUAAUCAAAUCGUGACAAAGAAAGCCACGUUGGCAUAACAAUAAUUUAAUAAUUGCUAUAUAAGUAGAAAUUCUGCUUUGAGACGUCAAAGUUUGAAUUUUGAAACUUAUAGGUGUCAGUCGAUCCCGGCCUGCCUCUACAUCGGCAACAACGUCCGGACUGCCUUUACAGCGGCAGUAAUGCCAUGUACCAUCCAAGGCAUUGUUCCCAGCUAGUUCCCCGAUCCAGUUGUCCACGACUAGUUCUCCCACAAAAUGUAAGAUUCCAGAACCCACUCUCACACAUGUAGUUCGUUGUCGAGAGUCCGAAGAUCAAAGAACAUCAAACAGACCAUGCUUCACUCCCCGAAUAUUCAACUUCUUUUUAUUACAAUAUAUGGUGGACGACCUUUUCAAAGCUGACACCUACAUUAACAUCUAAACUUAAAGCAUGCCAGAAACUAAUACAGUGUUUCGACAAUUAGAAUGGAAGAUUUACAGUUGGACAUUAUUUUAAUACCGUUAGGACUAUUUAUUUCUAUAUGUUUCCAGUAGAUGAUAUAUCUGUGAAUAAUCAAAAUACACCAUUGAACAACGACAUCAGCUAAUUAUCAAAGAACAUUUUAUUAUACGUGAACAUUUAUCAACAUCAGUGACAUUAAUAUUAAAUCUAUAUUAUUGUGUAUUUGAAUUGUAAACAUAUAUUUUCAUGAAACUGUGAGUACGUCAAAAAGCUUAUUCUUAAAUCUAAUUUUUUAAUUUUAAAAUUUUUAGCUAUGAAACAAAAUGUUCAUUUUCAUUUCACAAAUCGUAUUGCGUUUCAUGUCUUAAAAUUUCAAGAAAAACUUUUCUAAAAAACCUGUCUAAAUACAUGUAAGUUAUAAAAUUAUGUUUUUCAUAAAAUGUUGUAAAAUUUUAUUCAUUUAAAUCAUCCAUUGAAUAACUUUUUAGAAUAAUGUUAAUUAGAACUGAAUGUUUGUAUUUCAAACGCAUGUCAAUAUUAAUAUUUGCAAUCAGUCGUCUUUAAGAAUAGGUUCAAACUUCAUUAAGAGUUACGUAACGUAAAUAUCCUUGUUUGUAUGUUACCUAUUAGGAACAAGUUAGUCAAAUUCUUGUUGCCGUUUACUGUACAUUUUGGAAAAAUCAAAGUUAUAAUAGUUUAAUAUAUACAUAUGUAGGCAAGCAUAUUGCUCAGGCUACCUGAAUAGCAGGGACGCCACGAAUAAUAGAUAUAAUGGGUUACCUCACAAGAAGGAACGCCAUAAAAAAUAAAUGCAUGGGUCACCUCAGGAGCAGGGACGCCACAAUCAAUUGACAAAUGGGUUACCUCAGGAGUAGGAACGCCAUCAAAAUGAUAAGACAGUAGCUUAGAGACUGAUAAAAGCAAAAUCAAAUUCUGUUUAAGAUUUAUUCAAGUUUAUCAUAUUUCAUAUAUUUUUGCAACAUUUUGUUUAAACACUUUUCAUAUAUUUAUAACUACAUUUCAUCAACUGUAAAAAUUAACGUUCUUUUGUAAGCAUGUGGGUAACAAACUUUAAAGAACAACGAUUUAUAAUUGAUACUUAAUAGUAUCUUAUCAUCAUAACAUCAAUUAAAUUAAAAAAGAAAAAGAAAAAAAGGAAAAAGAAAACACCAAUUGAAUAGUAUGAUUAAGGAAUCUAAAUAAUGAAAAAAAAAAGAAAAAAAAAGAGAAAAAUAUUAAAAAUAAGUUCAAAAUUUGUAUCGAUUAAAAUCAAAUACUAAAUGCUAUAUGUUUAAACAUCCAUUAAUGUUUCGCCACUCAAUUGUUUGUUGUCUAUAUUGUUUUGAGGUUUAAAUAUGGAUAUUGAUUAUUUACUUACAUUAAUAAUUAAAAGUUAUAAAUCCAUUUUCAAAUUAAUAUAGUUAACAUAAAAUUUUACACAAUUUCUCUUAAA